rnacentral:rRNA from 1 species
AUGGAUAUGUUGUUAAAGGUUUACCGCCUUGGGAUAGGCUUGCGUCUGAUUAGUUAGUUGGUGUGGUAACGGCACACCAAGGCUACGAUCAGUAACUGGUCUGAGAGGAUGAUCAGUCACACUGGAACUGAGACACGGUCCAGACUCCUACGGGAGGCAGCAGUGAGGAAUAUUGGGCAAUGCUCGAAAGAGUGACCCAGCAACGCCGCGUGGAGGAUGAAGGUAUUCUAUAUCGUAAACUCCUGUGAGAGCAGACGAAAGACAGAUUAUUAAUCUGGAUGACUGUAUGCUCAGAGGAAGCCCGGCUAACUACGUG